AUUGAACGCUGGCGGCAUGCUUUACACAUGCAAGUCGAACGGUAACAGGCCGCAAUUUGCUGACUAGUGGUGAACGGGUGAGUAAGGCUACCGAGUGGAUCCCGUCGCUAGGGAUCUCUACUCGAUAGGGUAGCUAAUACCUCAUACCGGCUAUUGUAUAAAGCCGCGUGCUGUAAUGGUGCACGCCGUUUUUGCGGCCGAUGUCAGAUGAAGUAGCUGGGCGUGUAAAAGCUCACCAAGGCAACGAUCUGUAAGUGGACUGAGAGGAGGAGCAGCCAAACUUGGAAUGAGACAAGGCCCAGACUCCUAAGGGAGGGAGGAGGGGGGAAUUUUGGACAAUGGGCGCAAGCCUGAUCCAGCCAUGGCGCGUGCAGGAAGAAGGCCUUCGGGUUGUAAACUGUUUGUGUACGGAACGAAACAGCUCUGGUUAAAACCCGGGGCUAAUGACGGUACCGUAAUAAUAAGCACCGGCUAACUACGUG
rnacentral:rRNA from 1 species